UGCAGCAAGAAUAAUUAUUGGUAAAUAUGGGGAUACGUCGUGUUGUCUUUAUAUAACUAUCAUGGUAGGAUUGUAACUAUUUGUGACUUUUCGGAUAUAGAGCAUAGACAGGUGGAUGGGUAGCGUGUAUAACGCGAGCAUUAUCAAGAUAUGUUUGCAGACAUUAAAUAUGAAUCGUUAAAAUGGCUAGAAAAUGUCGAUUUCGCAAAAACAUUUUGAAACAUUUUUCCGUUGCAGUAAUUACGCUUAAGCCCGGGAGUGAAUUUAGGCAUGUUAUUAAUUCCCAAAAUGAAAUGUGAGGAUAAUUUUUUCCAUUUUUUUUUCAUCUUUAGAAUCCAAAAUGUUGAAUGAGCUGGUUUUACUCGCUUUUCCUGGGGACAGAGUAUCAGGAAGUAACCUGCAGUAGCGAGAUCCCCGAAGUGAAAUCUUACUGCACCGAGGGGACAGACAGCAGGAGAGAACGCCGUCUUCUUGGGUCUGAGAAUAGCGGCAGAGUUCAGGAUGUGUCAGCAUCUUCAGGAGGGUGACGUGGCCGUCAGCAACGUCCCAUGAUUCUGCUGAGACCAGGAAUCAUACCUGAAUACGGGAAGACUGGGGGACACCAAACAGUUAUGGAACAGUCUUCUGUUGGACUGGAUGGGAUUAUGAAGAGAAAUUGCAGUGCUGAUUUAGAUGUCACACUGAUUUGAAGAGAAAGUACAGGGCUGAUUUAGAUGUGAAACUGAUUUGAAGAGGAAGUGCUGAAGUAGUUGUUGAAUUGAUUUGAAGAGAAAGUGCAGUACUGAUUUAGACAAUGAAUUUAUCUACAGAGAGAGUGCAGUGCUGAUUUAGACAAUGAAUUUAUCUACAGAGAGAGUGCAGUGCUGAUUUAGACAAUGAAUUUAUCUACAGAGAGAGUGCAGUGCUGAUUUAGACAAUGAAUUUUAAUUUGGAUGGUAUUCUUCAUAACAAACACCAGACUUAAAAUGCUCUGCAGUAUCUUUCAGCUAAUGCCUUUCCAGCCUGAGACAUUAUAUCACACUCAGCAGACAUAUCCAGUGUUCUCCGGCCAGCACUGAGGAUCCAGACAGAGCAGAGAGGAGGCCUGACCUAAGGAUCCAGGCAGAGCAGAGAGGAGGCCUGACCUAAGGAUCCAGGCACAGCAGAGAGGAGGCCUGACCUAAGGAUCCAGGCACAGCAGAGAGGAGGCCUGACCUAAGGAUUCAGGCACAGCAGAGAGGAGGCCUGAGUCCUCACAGCACACACACCGCCUGCUGUCCCGGGGGCCUCCGGACCGUGGGGCCAGGCUUGAGGGCUGCGUUCCCCACCGAGUCUCUCAGCUGCUUGAUGAGGAGCCACAGCAGCAGAGCCAUGAGGAGCAGCAUCGCCGAGAACAUCGCCACGUAGACGCCCAGGUUCCAGGCCCAGUCCACCGCCACGGGCCACGAGGUGGAUGGUACCAGGGACAUCCUGGGAGCGGGCAUGUUGCUGUCUGGUGGGGCACUGGGGCAGUUCAGCAGUCCUUAGUGCCCUGGUACCACAUCACUCCUUCCUGUAAUCGUACACCCAGGAUGCAGAGCUUGGUGCCAGUGGAUUCAUCUUUUAUGUGAAAAUGAUUAAAUUUCCUUUUAUGGUAGCAAAUUUACUAGCCAGCCACUGUCCUUUAUGUGGGGGAUGAGGCUGCUUUUCUGGCUUGGAGUCCUUGAGGGGCCAGUGUUUUCCCCGCCUGUGAGCCUGUAGAUGCUCAGACCGCUUUCAAAUUCAUCACAGCGCGUACGCACACGCCCCCUCCCGCUCCCAUUGGCUGCUGGGCUCAGAUUCAGAGAGCCGUAUCAAAAAAAAAGCACAGCGGCCAAUCAAAGGACGCAGAAACGAAACGGCAGGUUUCUGGAAUCUCAAAUGCUUAACGCAGACAGGCAAAUAUACACUCCAUCAGGGAAUUCGUUUAGCACUCAAACAAAAGUCUCGUCAGAGUUCCCCUCCGGCAAAUCAUACAAAUAUCGGGAGUAACUGCCUUUGCUGGGCCCACGGCUUAAUUGAAUCAUCCGUUUCUGCCCAGGAGCAAAUCUGAAUAUGAAAGUUGAAUGAAGCUGAUACUUGUGAUUAAUGGAUGAAAUCCAUCCUCCGAAUGUUUACUUAGAUAUUCUGUACAGCUGUAUUAAACAGUAGACUAAAGCUGUUCAGAGACACGCGAGUAAACAGAGAGGGACACUAAAACAUCCCUGUAAUAAACCGCUUUAUUUUCACAUUUUAAACGACAAGCCAUUACAUAACAGGAAUGGAAAAAACACCAUAAAGUUUUUGCAGACGGACAUUAGCUCAAGUAACGUAGUGACCUGUGAAUUGUCAGGCAGCAUCUCCGCAAUGGCCCUUAGAUGCCGAUUGUUCCCAGAAAUGAACUGGAAAAUUGUUAAGAUUUAUGUCAAGGAAAUACGGCGGUUGUGAAUGAGGAACUUUACCUAGAA